GAUGAACGCUGGCGGCGUGCCUAAUACAUGCCAGUCGAGCGAACAGACGAGGAGCUUGCUCCUCUGACGUUAGCGGCGGACGGGUGAGUAACACGUGGAUAACCUACCUAUAUGACUGGGAUAACUUCGGGAAACCGGAGCUAAUACCGGAUAAUAUAUUGAACCGCAUGGAUCAAUAGUGAAAGACGGUUUUGCUGUCACUUAUAGAUGGAUCCGCGCCGCAUUAGCUAGUUGGUAAGGUAACGGCUUACCAAGGCAACGAUGCGUAGCUGACCUGAGAGGGUGAUCGGCCACACUGGAACUGAGACACGGUCCAGACUCCUACGGGAGGCAGCAGUAGGGAAUCUUCCGCAAUGGGCGAAAGCUUGACGGAGCAACGCCGCGUGAGUGAUGAAGGUCUUCGGAUCGUAAAACUCUGUUAUUAGGGAAGAACAAAUGUGUAAGUAACUAUGCACGUCUUGACGGUACCUAAUCAGAAAGCCACGGCUAACUACGUG
rnacentral:rRNA from 1 species